rnacentral:rRNA from 1 species
CGGCGGACGGGUGAGUAACACGUGGAUAACCUACCUAUAAGACUGGGAUAACUUCGGGAAACCGGAGCUAAUACCGGAUAAUAUAUUGAACCGCAUGGUUCAAUAGUGAAAGACGGUUUUGCUGUCACUUAUAGAUGGAUCCGCGCCGCAUUAGCUAGUUGGUAAGGUAACGGCUUACCAAGGCGACGAUGCGUAGCCUACCUGAGAGGGUGAUCGGCCACACUGGAACUGAGACACGGUCCAG